GCAGUGAUGACUAUCUUAGGACACC
rnacentral:piRNA from 2 species